rnacentral:rRNA from 1 species
GAUGAACGCUGGCGGCGUGCCUAAUACAUGCAAGUCGAGCGAACGGACGAGAAGCUUGCUUCUCUGAUGUUAGCGGCGGACGGGUGAGUAACACGUGGAUAACCUACCUAUAAGACUGGGAUAACUUCGGGAAACCGGAGCUAAUACCGGAUAAUAUUUUGAACCGCAUGGUUCAAAAGUGAAAGACGGUCUUGCUGUCUCUUAUAGAUGGAUCCGCGCUGCAUUAGCUAGUUGGUAAGGUAACGGCUUACCAAGGCAACGAGGCGUAGCCGACCUGAGAGGGUGAUCGGCCACACGGGAACUGAGACACGGUCCAGACUCCUACGAGAGGCAGCAGUAGGGAAUCUUCCGCAGUGGGCGAAAGCCUGACGGAGCAACGCCGCGUGAGUGAUGAAGGUCUUCGGAUCGUAAAACUCUGUUAUUAGGGAAGAACAUAUGUGUAAGUAACUGUGCACAUCUUGACGGUACCUAAUCAGAAAGCCACGGCUAACUACGUG